UACGUAGGGGGCAAGCGUUGUCCGGAAUUAUUGGGCGUAAAGAGCUCGUAGGCGGUUUGUCGCGUCUGCCGUGAAAGCCCGGGGCUCAACUCCGGAUCUGCGGUGGGUACGGGCAGACUAGAGUGAUGUAGGGGAGACUGGAAUUCCUGGUGUAGCGGUGAAAUGCGCAGAUAUCAGGAGGAACACCGGUGGCGAAGGCGGUUCUCUGGGCCUUACCUGACGCUGAGGAGCGAAAGCGUGGGGAGCGAACAGG
rnacentral:rRNA from 1 species